UAGUCCACGCCCUAAACGAUGAACACUAGUCGUCGGGGAGCUAGUCUCUUCGGUGAUGCACUUAACAGAUUAAGUGUUCCGCCUGGGGAGUACGGUCGCAAGAUUAAAACUCAAAGGAAUAGACGGGGACCCGCACAAGUGGUGGAGCAUGUGGUUUAAUUCGAAGAUACGCGAAGAACCUUACCUAGCCUUGACAUUGAUAGAACACCGUAGAGAUACAGUGGUGCCCUUCGGGGAACUUGAAAACAGGUGCUGCACGGCUGUCGUCAGCUCGUGUCGUGAGAUGUUGGGUUAAGUCCCGCAACGAGCGCAACCCUCGUCCUUAGUUGCCAGCAGUUAGGCUGGGCACUCUAAGGAGACUGCCUUCGCAAGGAGGAGGAAGGUGAGGACGACGUCAAGUCAUCAUGGCCCUUAUGGCUAGGGCUACACACGUGCUACAAUGGGGCGUACAGAGAGUUGCGAUACCGCGAGGUGGAGCCAAUCUCAUAAAGCGUCU
rnacentral:rRNA from 1 species